rnacentral:misc_RNA from 1 species
GGCUGCUGCUGGUUUAUUAGCCAAUCUUCCCAAAUCUGAAGUAACACUGACUAUGAGGCUAAUUGAGCUGGAUGGGGUCAAUGCGCUCAUAAAUAUUAUCAGAACAGGGGACAUGGAAGCCAAGGAAAAUGCUCUAAGUGCACUGUUCAGGUUUACGGAUCCCACAAAUCUUGAGUCACAACAUAUUGUGGUUGAACAAGGAGCUUACCCUUUGCUUGUAAACUUACUGAGAACUGGUUCUGUAACUGCAAAGGCCAGAGCAGCAGCACUUAUUGGUGAUCUUUCCAAGAGCAGUCCGAAGCUUGUUAUUGUGUCCAAUCCAACUGGCUGCUGGUGUUUUCGGCCAACACGCCCUAAGUUAUGCCCAGCACAUGCAGGCAUCUGUAGUGUAAAAACUACAUUUUGUCUCCUGGAGGCAAAUGCUUUGCCUUUCUUGGUAGAACUCUUGCAGGGAGAGGUUCCUGCAACUGCUCAUGAAGCAAUCCAGACACUCUCCACACUGGUUCUGGAAGGGUCUCCUAACAGAGGAGCCAAUGUGUUGCAUGAGGCUGAUGCC